rnacentral:rRNA from 1 species
UACGAAGGGGGCUAGCGUUGUUCGGAAUUACUGGGCGUAAAGCGCACGUAGGCGGACUAUUAAGUCAGGGGUGAAAUCCCGGGGCUCAACCCCGGAACUGCCUUCGAUACUGGUAGUCUCGAGUCCGGAAGAGGUGAGUGGAAUUCCGAGUGUAGAGGUGAAAUUCGUAGAUAUUCGGAGGAACACCAGUGGCGAAGGCGGCUCACUGGUCCGGUACUGACGCUGAGGUGCGAAAGCGUGGGGAGCAAACAGG